CGGUGAGACGUACUUGCUUCUCCUCACCUUCUACCGUGAUUCUGGACUAGACAGAAGACUACAGUUCAAUAAGAAGGAAACACAUUCAUUUUCAGUAUUGUUAAUAAAGAAGCUUACCUAAAAGAAGGAAAUCAAAACAAGAUAAUCUACACUGCAACUAGGGGAGGCUAUUGAAUGUGAUGGUCCCCUCAGAUGCCUAGAGGAAGAUGAACAAUGGUAAUCAGAUAUCCUAAAGUUAUCUUUAGGGCACUGGCAAAAUAGCAGCAAUGCCUGGUGGAAGCUGACUUUGUGCAUACACAUGAGAGCCCACAGAAAACUUCAAACUUCAUGGAAAUAAAACCUUCAGCUGCAGCUAAGAAUUUGGAGGUUACUGAAGGAGGUUACUUUUUCAAGAGCAGAAGUAAGGAUUCCACUGAAUUUGCUCACCAAAGAUAAGUCAGCAAAGAAAACUUACUGAAGAAUACAGGAACAUAAAUCUUAAGCAGGCUUACAUAAGGAAGGGAAGUGGUUGAAUCUGAGGUAAUUCCAUGGUGGACUUUGAAGAAAGCCUUCCAUGAGUUCCCAGUCCAUAUCCUCCAAAAGACAGCAUAUCAGCUCCUGCUUUCCAGACAAACUUCCUGGGUCUUGGGAAGAAGAAAGCCUCAGACUAAGAACUCUCUCUGGACUCAGACAGCCUGAAUUCAAAUCCCAUCUCUAUUCUUACUAGUCAUAUGAACACAGGAGAACCAUAUCCAUUCAGCUCACUUUGGACCACCUGUGGAGCCUGAUAACCAGGGAACAGAGAACCUGUUGAGAUCCAAAUUUGUGUGCCAGCCUCUAGCAGGUCCUUCAGGACAUAUUCCAGAAGAAGGCAUUGUUAUCAUAGGAGAUGACGGUUCCAUGCGUGUUAUUGCCCCUGAAGACCUUCCAGUGGGUCAAGAUAUGGAGGUGAAAGACAGUGAUAUUGAUGAUCCUGACCCUGCGUAGGCCAAGUUUUCUUGACUUCACUUAAUCUGCUGGAAGCUGAUCCUUUUCAUGUCCAUGUUUAAGGAAGCGUUGAAGGUCACGUCACUCAAAGCCAACAUCAGCAGGCAUCCUACCAAGAUAAUCUCUGAAGAGGUCAGAGGGCUGGUACCCUUAAAGAAGAGGAAGAUAUCCAAG
rnacentral:lncRNA from 10 species